rnacentral:rRNA from 1 species
UACGUAGGGUCCGAGCGUUGUCCGGAAUUAUUGGGCGUAAAGAGCUUGUAGGCGGUUUGUCGCGUCUGCCGUGAAAAUCCGAGGCUCAACCUCGGACUUGCGGUGGGUACGGGCAGACUAGAGUGUGGUAGGGGAGACUGGAAUUCCUGGUGUAGCGGUGAAAUGCGCAGAUAUCAGGAGGAACACCGAUGGCGAAGGCAGGUCUCUGGGCCACUACUGACGCUGAGAAGCGAAAGCGUGGGGAGCGAACAGG